UGAGGCACAGAGGUCGUGCCCAGGGUGCAGAUGACAGCAUUGGCCAAUCAGGGCGCAGUGACAGCCCUGGAGCUACUUAUUUUAAAAUAUACUGUAUAUAUUUUUCAAAAUGAAGUGUAUAUAUGAUGUUUUAACUCAUGAUAAGAGUCAACUUUGUAAUGUAAGACAAUUUGCAAAACAAUAAUUAGUGUCACUUUCAUUGAUAAUUUUCCCUCGCCAUUUUUUAAGGAACAACAAUUUUGAUCGCCAAAGAUACAAAGUACAAACACGAGCAAUUAUAAUUGUUGAAAGAUAAAGUGAACAAGAACAAGAAAAUUCUAAAGAACUACUGUAUAAUCGGUGGAAAGAACUCUAUAUAAUGACAUAGCUAAUAGGGAACUUUCGUACAGUGGGGGAUAAAAUUUCAUCUUCAUCCCUAAACCUCUUUUCCGAGAACUUUUUCCUCCAUCCCAUUUCCGUGGAGAAAAAUUUCCCGUCUUUGGGUCUCAAACGGGACAAUCCUCAUAGGAUCCCCAUUUACAAAUCAAAUGGAC
rnacentral:lncRNA from 1 species